GUGGGGAAUAUUGGACAAUGGGCGAAAGCCUGAUCCAGCCAUGCCACGUGUGUGAAGAAGGUCUUCGGAUUGUAAAGCACUUUAAGUUGGGAGGAAGGGCAGUAAGUUAAUACCUUGCUGUUUUGACGUUACCGACAGAAUAAGCACCGGCUAACUCUGUGCCAGCAGCCGCGGUAAUACAGAGGGUGCAAGCGUUAAUCGGAAUUACUGGGCGUAAAGCGCGCGUAGGUGGUUUUGUAAGUUGGAGGUGAAAUCCCCGGGCUCAACCUGGGAACUGCCUCCAAAACUGCAUGACUAGAGUACGGUAGAGGGUAGUGGAAUUUCCUGUGUAGCGGUGAAAUGCGUAGAUAUAGGAAGGAACACCAGUGGCGAAGGCGACUACCUGGACUGAUACUGACACUGAGGUGCGAAAGCGUGGGGAGCAAACAGGAUUAGAUACCCUAGUAGUCC
rnacentral:rRNA from 1 species